GGAUUGUGGCUUAGCGGUAGAGCGCUUGUCUAGCAUGUGUGAGGCCCUGGGUUCGAUCCUCAACACCA
rnacentral:tRNA from 1 species